rnacentral:rRNA from 5 species
ACGAGACCUCAGCCUGCUAACUAGCUAUGCGGAGCCAUCCCUCCGCAGCU